AUGCCGAAAAGAAGCAAAGGCGGCAGUGAUGCUGAAGCUGCAGAGCCCAAGAGGAGGUCUGAGAGACUACAAGCUAAGCCACAGACCCCAGAUGCUAAGCCAAAGAAGGCACCAGCAAAGCCCAAGAAGGUGAAAGAGGCGAAGAAGGGAAAGCCAGAGGAGAAGAAAGAUGCAGAAGCUGAGAAUGCUGAGACGCCUGCAGAGAAUGGAGAAGCGACAACUGAGGAGGAAUCAAAAGCCACAGAAGAGAAGGAAGAUAGGUCCAAAGAAUAACAUCACUUCACCAGGAGCAGCUCCCUGUACCCCUUUUCUUGUACAGUUCAGAGGAAUAUUUUUAUCAACUAUUUUCUAAAGAAAAAAUGCUUCUUUUUUUUUUUCUUUUUUUUUUUGUAGUAGCUGAAAAUAUAGAAACACUUUUAUAUAAAUGUUUUAGGAGAACAAUUUAAUGUAUCUCAUUUUUAAUAACAGCAGUCAUGCAAAUGGAUCUGUGGGCAUGUUUUUCUUUCUUUUUUCAAAGGGGAGGGACUGGGGCAGGAUGCAGCAAGGAUGAAAUUGUGCCAAUUUGAUCAAUCUAUUUUGCCUGCGUGAAUGACAUUCCAUAGGGAUUAUGAGGGACUGUGUAACGGAAUGGCUGUUUACAAUAUAAUUUUGUGAUUGUGGGGCUGGGGUUGGUUUAGUCUGUAAGCUAUGUUCUAUAAAUCGAAGCUCACAUAGUCAUGCAGCUUUGUGAAUCACCUUUGUUCAACCUGCUCUCAACUACUGGAUCAUAUGUUUUAAUUUAUGUGUUUUGAGGAAAGAUUUGUGACCUCGCUGGUAAAGCUGUCGUAGAAACGGUUUUCAUAAUAUCCAUAUGCAGUUAAAUGUUGGUACUUUUGUGAGGAUGGAAAGAGCAAAUGAAACUACAUUUAUUACAGUGUUAAAGCCACCAGAUGUAAUUAAGCAAAGGACUGUAAGUGUACAGCCGAUAGCAAUACUUUCCCUUAUUUGUAAGGUAGAUUACAAGUGUACAGUUUUGUUUUUGGUAGCUGUAUUUAUGUAGGGGUUGGUAUAAGCUUACCAAUAAAAUGGUUGAAAUUUCUUCA
rnacentral:lncRNA from 1 species